rnacentral:rRNA from 1 species
UACGUAGGGUGCGAGCGUUGUCCGGAAUUACUGGGCGUAAAGAGCUCGUAGGUGGUUUGUCGCGUUGUUCGUGAAAACUCACAGCUUAACUGUGGGCGUGCGGGCGAUACGGGCAGACUGGAGUACUGCAGGGGAGACUGGAAUUCCUGGUGUAGCGGUGGAAUGACGCAGAUAUCAGGAGGAACACCGGUGGCGAAGGCGGGUCUCUGGGCAGUAACUGACGCUGGAGGAGCGAAAAGCGUGGGGAGCGAACAGG